rnacentral:rRNA from 1 species
UCUCGUUAGAUCACCGAAGUUAAGCAACAUUGGGCGCGGUCAGUACUUGGGUGGGUGACCACCUGGGAACACUGCGUGCCGUU